CAAGGGCCUGCCGCUCCCCUCU
rnacentral:snRNA from 1 species